CGAACGUUGCAUGGUUUCGCCUGCAUGUUUGGCCGCCGAACGUGGUUGACCAGCUCCUCUAUAAAAGCCACUUAGGGCGGUGGAAGAGGCAAGUUUUCUUCCUCUUCCCACCCAAGGUGAGCUCAUGUCCUCCUUGGCAUGAUUUUUUAGUCUUUCCAAGUUUUUUUUAAAGUUUUAGUAAGCUUUUGCCUUGGUUUUGAAGGUUUUGAGCAAAAGGAGUAAGUUUUGGAGUUUGAAGCUUUUGGAAGUGUUUUCUCCACGUUUUGACGUUGAGGUCACACCAACUCAAGAGGUAAGGGUUGAUCUCUAUGUUUUAUGGUAUUUUAAGCAUGUUUUAUGGAAAGUUUGAAGGGUUUUAUGGGUUGGAAGUGUUAGAUAUGCAUGGGUGUGCAUGGGAGGGUUUCAUGGACCCUUUGUGCACUAUAUGUUUAUGUGUUGAUGUUGUUAGAGUUUAAGGGUGUUUUAGGACCCUUUAGGUAUGUUUAGAGGUUAUAUGCAAGUGAAGUGAGUUAGGAUGGGUUUGAGGAGAUGUGUUUGUGCAUGAACUGGGUUCUGGAAGAACUCAGGUUCGGCCGCCGAAGUGAGUUUCGGCCGCCGAAGGCCUUGAGGAGGUGGCUUCGGCUGCCGAAGGCUGCUUCCGGAAGUUGGACUUUCGGAUCUGUCAUGCACAUUCGGCCGCCGAAGGUGCCGCCGAACCUACCCGAGUUUCGUCUCUGGAGGAGACUUUCGGCCGCCGAAAGUGCCGCCGAAGGUGCUCUGUUUUGCCUUCCUUUGCAUGAAUUUUCAUGCAUGUUUAUGAGGCUUUAGAGGGGUUUUGGGAAGGUGUAUUAGAUUUAUACUAGAGAUGUUUGGCACCUCAUAAGAGUCCUUUUGUGUAGGAUUUGAUCAGAGAAGAGGUGUUUAGCCCAGUACAGAGUUGGCCCAAGUUAGUAGAGCAAAGACUUCAGGUGAGUGGGACUAACUAUGCAUGUUUUCAACGGUGUUUAAAGAGAAUAAUAGUAUGAGCAUGAGACACGCAUCAUGAAUGCCAUGUUAUUUUAGGUUGUUGCAUUAGAAUCCACGAAGAUGUUGCAUUGCAUAAUUUGAUGAGUAUGCGGAUGAGUGUUGAGUGAUCCUGUAGCCCUCAGUAUAGCAUGUUAUGGUAUGAUGUGAGUCAAGUAAAGAGUCAAACAUGAUAUGUAUGCGGGCAGGGAGGCCUAAUCGCCCCUGUUCUUUUUAUGAAUGCAGUCAGGAGGCCUAAUCGCCCUGACCAAACGUUUUUAGGAAAAAGAAAGACAAAAUGAUGAUUUUCUGAAUGCAGUCAGGAGGCCUAAUCGCCCUGACAAAACGUUUUUAGGAAAAAGAAAGACAAAAUGAUUUCAGUAGCUAGUCAGGAGGCCUAAUCGCCCUGGCAAAAUGUUUUCAGGAGAAAAGUUAAGUGAUGCAUGAGUCAGUUAUGUGGAGGGCUAUAGGUGACAACUUCUUCCUUGAUGUGAAAUGUUUGUGUUAUGAUGCAUGGCAUGAGAGCAUAUGUUUUAAUGAACUGUUUUUAUGGAUUCCCCUCACUGGGCUUUAGAAGCUCAUCCCUCUCCCUUAUCCCAGUAUUGCAGGGCCAGAGUAUGAUCAGAGUAAGCUAAGAGAAGAAGGCUAAAGAGCAGAAUCAUGAGAAGUUAUGUCAUAGUAUGGAUUGAGGUGUAAACAUGUAUAUGUUUAGAGAAGUUUUAUGUUAUGUN
rnacentral:lncRNA from 1 species